rnacentral:rRNA from 1 species
UACGUAGGGGGCAAGCGUUGUCCGGAAUCAUUGGGCGUAAAGAGCGUGUAGGCGGCCAGAUAAGUCCGCUGUGAAAUCUCGAGGCUCAACUUCGAGCUGUCGGUGGAAACUGUCUGGCUAGAGUCCGGAAGAGGAGAAUGGAAUUCCUGGUGUAGCGGCGAAAUGCGCAGAUAUCAGGAAGAACACCCGUGGCGAAGGCGGUUCUCUGGGACGGUACUGACGCUGAGACGCGAAAGCGUGGGGAGCGAACAGG